ensembl:snoRNA
CUGGAGACUAAGGAAAUAGAGUUGUUGGAAUCAAGUUUACUCUGCCCUUAGUUUCCUAUAUAGAAUAGGUCUCGCAUGCAAGAUAAAUUCAAGAACUACUUAUCUUCAAACAGCA